rfam:Otolemur garnettii contig070063, whole genome shotgun sequence.
GCCACGCGUGGCGGUAUAUGCCUGUAGUCCCAGCUACUGGGGAGGCUGAGACAGGGCGAUCACUUGAGUCCAAGAGUUCUGGGCUGUAGUGUGCUAUGCCAAACAGGUGUCCGCACUAAAUUCAACAUCAAUAUGGUGACCUCCCAGGAGCAGGGGACCACCGGGUGGGUUGCCUAAAGAGGGAUGAACUGGCCCAGGUCGGAAACAGAGCAGGUCAAAGCUUCCGUGAUGAUCAGGAGUGGGAUCGUGCCUGUAAAUAGCCACGGCACUCCAGCCUGGGUACCUUAGUGAGACCCCGUCUCAA